AAGAAGGUAAAAGCCCUGUAAUUCAAAACUUGUUCUCUCCGAGACGGAUCCCGAGUAGUGCGGGGCACGUGAAACCCCGUAUGAAUCCGGCAGGACCAUCUGCCAAGGCUAAAUACUCCCUGGCGACCGAUAGUGAAGCAGUACCGUGAGGGAAAGGUGAAAAGCACCCCGGAAGGGGAGUGAAAUAGAUCCUGAAACCGUGUGCUUACAAGAAGUCAGAGCCCUAUUUAUGGGUGAUGGCGUGCCUUUUGUAGAAUGAACCGGCGAGUUACGUUCCCGUGCAAGGUUAAGGUGAAGAGCUGAAGCCGCAGCGAAAGCGAGUCUGAAUAGGGCGAUUU
rnacentral:rRNA from 1 species